AUGUACAUCCUCCCCAGUGGGAGUGGAGAAUAUAUAAUCUCUAUCUCCCCAGUGAGCCAACGUCUUUGGGGCAAACAAGAGGUACCUGCAUGUACCUCUCUUGAUAAAGCAGCAACAAGCCUAACACGAGGGAACUCUCCUGCCACCUCCUUGCUUACUCUUUAACCCCAGAAGAGCAUCCCCAUACAAAUAAACCCAUAAGUGGAGUCCUGAGUCCA
rnacentral:lncRNA from 1 species